UGCCCUGCACUCUGGGACAAGCCCUGGAAACGGGGUCUAAUACCGGAUAAUACUUUCUCCUGCAUGGGGGAGGGUUAAAAGCUCCGGCGGUGCAGGAUGAGCCCGCGGCCUAUCAGCUUGUUGGUGGGGUGAUGGCCUACCAAGGCGACGACGGGUAGCCGGCCUGAGAGGGCGACCGGCCACACUGGGACUGAGACACGGCCCAGACUCCUACGGGAGGCAGCAGUGGGGAAUAUUGCACAAUGGGCGAAAGCCUGAUGCAGCGACGCCGCGUGAGGGAUGACGGCCUUCGGGUUGUAAACCUCUUUCAGCAGGGAAGAAGCGAGAGUGACGGUACCUGCAGAAGAAGCGCCGGCUAACUACGUGCCAGCAGCCGCGGUAAUACGUAGGGCGCAAGCGUUGUCCGGAAUUAUUGGGCGUAAAGAGCUCGUAGGCGGUUUGUCACGUCGGAUGUGAAAGCCCGGGGCUUAACCCCGGGUCUGCAUUCGAUACGGGCAGACUAGAGUGUGGUAGGGGAGAUCGGAAUUCCUGGUGUA
rnacentral:rRNA from 1 species